rnacentral:tRNA from 1 species
GCCGCGAUGGUGGAAUUUGGUAGACACGCUAGAUUCAAAAUCUGGUGUCCAUUUGGACGUGCCGGUUCAAGUCCGGCUCGCGGUACCA